UUGGGUUGGUAGGCAGGUCUCCUGAGAACCUCAUGUUCCCUUUGACUCACCUUUGUAUCCACAAAGUAAUAUCCUGAUACAUCAUUUCAUUUCCAGGGUAAACUUGCAACCAAGAAAACGUGCCCUAUGCAAAAGCCACACUUCUGGAAGCAAUUCUUACAAACUAGAAACCAGGUCUGGCCCAGAGUUUACUAACUAACCUGUCAGGUGCCUCAACCUCAACGAACAAUUGGAGCUUUCCAAGCACUGAGAAAACAACCAAGGACACACAGAUCCCUUUACCCUGUGGAGCCUACAUUUCAAUGGCAAUAAAAAAAAGGACAGUUAGCAACUUCUGAAGUAGAACACACGACUGAAACACACAGAGGAAAGAAACUGUACAGGACCAAGCAGAAGACUGUUUCCUUUUUUUAUGUUUUUAAAUUUGAAUUAGAAACAAG